UACAGAGGUCCCGAGCGUUGUUCGGAUUCAUUGGGCGUAAAGGGUGCGUAGGCGGGUCUUUAAGUCAGAGGUGAAAUCCUGGAGCUCAACUCCAGAACUGCCUUCGAUACUGGAAAGCUCGAGUCCGGGAGAGGUGAGUGGAACUGCGAGUGUAGAGGUGAAAUUCGUAGAUAUUCGCAAGAACACCAGUGGCGAAGGCGGCUCACUGGCCCGGUACUGACGCUGAGGUGCGAAAGCGUGGGGAGCAAACAGG
rnacentral:rRNA from 1 species